CUUUUCGAGGUAGGAGUCGACUCCUGUGAGGUAUGGUGCUGGGUGCAGAUGCAGUGUGGCUCUGGAUAGCACCUUAUGGACAGUUGUGUCCCCAAGGAAGGAUGAGAAUAGCUACUGAAUUGUUUCUUCCCAGGUCCUAAAGAGCAAGCCUAACUCAAGCCAUUGGCACACAGGCAUUAGACAGAAAGCUGGAAGUUGAAAUGGUGGAGUCCAACUUGCCUGGACCAGCUUAAUGGUUCUGCUCCUGGUAACGUUUUUAUCCAUGGAUGACUUGCUUGGGUAAGGACAUGAAGACAGUUCCUGUCAUACCUUUUAAAGGUAUGGAGAGUCGGCUUGACUACACUGUGUGGAGCAAGUUUUAAAGAAGCAAAGGACUCAGAAUUCAUGAUUGAAGAAAUGCAGGCAGACCUGUUAUCCUAAACUAGGGUUUUUAAUGACCACAACAAGCAAGCAUGCAGCUUACUGCUUGAAAGGGUCUUGCCUCACCCAAGCUAGAGUGCAGUGGCCUUUGAAGCUUACUACAGCCUCAAACUUCUGGGCUCAAGUGAUCCUCAGCCUCCCAGUGGUCUUUGUAGACUGCCUGAUGGAGUCUCAUGGCACAAGAAGAUUAAAACAGUGUCUCCAAUUUUAAUAAAUUUUUGCAAUCCAUC
rnacentral:lncRNA from 1 species